rnacentral:rRNA from 1 species
AACGUAGGUGGCGAGCGUUAUCCGGAAUUACUGGGCGUAAAGCGUGUGCAGGCGGGCUAGCAAGUGGUGUAUGAAAGCUCCCGGCUCAACCGGGAAGGGUUAUGCCAGACUGCUAGUCUUGAGUGCGAGAGAGGAGAGUGGAAUUCCUGGUGUAGCGGUGAAAUGCGUAGAUAUCAGGAGGAACACCUGAGGCGAAAGCGGCUCUCUGGACCACAACUGACGCUGAGGCGCGAAAGCUAGGGGAGCAAACAGG